rnacentral:tRNA from 1 species
GCCUGGUGGCGGACGGCACGGCCGGGCGCUGGGGCUGCUCCAACACCGCGCUGUGGCGGUUCGAGCGCGCCGCCGCGCUC